UACGGAGGGUGCAAGCGUUAUCCGGAUUCACUGGGUUUAAAGGGUGCGUAGGUGGGCAGGUAAGUCAGUGGUGAAAUCUCCGGGCUUAACCCGGAAACUGCCAUUGAUACUAUCAGUCUUGAAUACCGUGGAGGUAAGCGGAAUAUGUCAUGUAGCGGUGAAAUGCUUAGAUAUGACAUAGAACACCAAUUGCGAAGGCAGCUUACUACCCGAAUAUUGACACUGAGGCACGAAAGCGUGGGGAGUCAAACAGGAUU
rnacentral:rRNA from 1 species